rnacentral:rRNA from 1 species
AUGUGCGUACCUAAAAACCAAUGAGGGAUGGGAUUUCGUGAUAUUCACUGUUUCAAUCUGGCACUGCUCGCCAAACAGGCAUGGCGCCUUCUGAAUAAUCCGGAUUCUUUGUGCGCUACAAUUCUAAGGGCCAAAUACUAUCCUGAUGGCAAUUUGUUAAAUUCUAAGCAAAAGAAAGGCUCUUCUUUUACCUGGCAAAGUAUUAUGGCUGGCAUAAAUUCUCUGAAACGUGGCUAUAUUUGGCGUGUGGGGAAUGGACAAAAUAUCAAUAUUUGGGAAGAUGCCUGGAUCCCAAAUUGUGCUACUAGGAAAGUUGUGACACCUAAGGGGGGACAACUGUUAACUAAGGUGGGUGAUCUAAUUGAUCCUGCUUCGAAUACUUGGGAUGAAGACCUGAUUACACAAACAAUGUGGCCCAUUGAUGUUCAACGGAUUCUCUCGAUUCCAAUCUCGCAACAUGAUAUGCUAGAUUUCAUUGCUUGGAGUUAUACAAAAAAUGGUAUGUUCUCAGUUCGGUCUGCUUGUUUUGUGGAGUGGGACCAUCAGUAUGGAAGUAGACUAAGACAUUCGAAUGGGAUGGGGCGAACCACAGUUAAUCCUAUUUGGAGUAAGAUAUGGAAGUUAUCAUGUCCGACAAAAGUUAAAUUUUUUAUAUGGCGUACAUUACAUGGAACGCUUCCAUGCCGGGUUACGCUCGCAAAUAGGCAUAUGAAGGUCACGCCCAUUUGUCCUACUUGCUCUGAGGGUUCUGAAGAUACAAAGCAUAUGUUUUUCCUUUGCAGUAGAGCAAAGGAGGUUUGGACAAGGCUGGGGAUGGAUGAUAUCAUUGAUAAAGCUUGCGAGGUUGACCUUGCUGGAGAGGCGGUGUUGGAGUACCUACUACUUCUGCCAGACCAAGAAUUGAGGAUAAUGGGUUAG